rnacentral:lncRNA from 1 species
GGUGGGAAGUUGCUGGAUUUGGCGAAUUUACGACAAGUAUGGUUGGAGAAGGAUUCGUGCAGGACAAUUCCCUUCACGCGGGUAAGAAUCGUCAUCAGUGCUACGCAGGUGUUGGUCAUCAGUCCUGCCCUUUCCAAGAUUUCACCCAUGGUAACACUACAAGAAAAGCGUGAUUUCGUGUCGUUCGUUUCUGUUCUUAUGUUAAUUUUAUCAUGUUAAGAUACAGAUGUCCUUC